rnacentral:lncRNA from 1 species
UAUAUUAAUUACUAGGCUGUAUAAACGUUUGAAUGGUAAUGUAGGCUACAUAGAGACACAUUGUGCCAAUUGUAUUGUAUGUACUAAGACACAUUCAGAUUUCAGGCGAAUGAAAACUUUUUCAGAAUGACAAAGACUCUUAUAGCAAUUAUACCUGGAUUAACCUGACUACGUUACAGUAACAAACGUCACUUUUAUGGGUCAAGUCAGGCAGAAACCUUCAGGUAACAACUGUACUUUUCUAUGAUAGCGUAGAAGAGGGUUUGCAGUAUGAAGAGAUCAAUCCUCCAAGAUUUAAGCAUUGCUCAUCACUAUACACUGUUAUCUCAUAGCACUCACAGAGAACCUGCAGCACCUGAGAGAUCCUGCCAAGAAAAGAGCAUCUCCGUAUGGAGCAGAAGACGGGACCUGGCAAGUGGCUAGAGAACAGUCCCUGUGAGUCUGGCUUUGUGAGUGAUCAGUCCUCCAUGGAAAUCCCACCGGUCUUCAGAGAAAAUGUAAUGGUGACUUCACUGCCACCUGUUCACCUAAAU